rnacentral:rRNA from 1 species
AGAGGGUGCAAGCGUUAAUCGGAAUGACUGGGCGUAAAGGGCGCGUAGGCGGAUAAUUGAGUUAGAUGUGAAAUACCAGGGCUCAACCUUGGGAAGUCAUUUAAUACUGGUUGUCUAGAGUAGAGUAGAGGGGAGUGGAAUUUCCGGUGUAGCGGUGAAAUGCGUAGAUAUCGGAAAGAACAUCAGUGGCGAAGGCGACUCUCUGGGCUCAUACUGACGCUGAGGCGCGAAAGCGUGGGGUAUCGAACAGGAUUAGAUACCCUGGUAGUCCACGCUGUAAACGAUGAAGACUAGAUGUUGGUGGGUAAAACCCUAUCAGUAUCGGAGCUAACGCAUUAAGUCUUCCGCCUGGGAGUACGGCCGCAAGGUUA